UAAAACGUAGGGGGCAAGCGUUGCCCGGAUUCACUGGGCGUAAAGCGGGUGUAGGCGGUCUUCUAAGUCGGAUGUGAAAUCCUACGGCUCAACCGUGGAACUGCAUCCGAUACUGGUCGACUUGAGGACGGUAGAGGUCGGUGGAAUCCCCGGUGUACCGGUGAAAUGGGCAGAUAUCGGGGGGAACACCAGUGGCGAAGGCGGCCGACUGGGCCGAUCCUGACGCUGAGACCCGAAAGCUAGGGUAGCGAACCGGAUUAGAUACCCGGGUAGUCCUAGCCGUAAACGGUGCGAACUAGGUGUGGGGGCUGUCAUGGCUUCCGUGCCGAAGCUAACGCAUUAAGUUCGCCGCCUGGGGAGUACGGCCGCAAGGCUA
rnacentral:rRNA from 1 species